UACUGACGCUAAAGCUCGAAGGUGCGGGUAUCGAACAGGAUUAGAUACCCUGGUAGUCCGCACGGUAAACGAUGGAUGCCCGCUGUUUGCGAUAUACUGUGAGCGGCCAAGAGAAAUCGUUAAGCAUCCCACCUGGGGAGUACGCCGGCAACGGUGAAACUCAAAGGAAUUGACGGGGGCCCGCACAAGCGGAGGAACAUGUGGUUUAAUUCGAUGAUACGCGAGGAACCUUACCCGGGCUUGAACUGCAGGCGAACGAUACAGAGAUGUUGAGGCCCUUCGGGGCGCCUGUGGAGGUGCUGCAUGGUUGUCGUCAGCUCGUGCCGUGAGGUGUCGGCUUAAGUGCCAUAACGAGCGCAACCCUUUCCAUUAGUUGCCAUCAGGUAAUGCUGGGCACUCUGGUGAUACUGCCACCGUAAGGUGUGAGGAAGGUGGGGAUGACGUCAAAUCAGCACGGCCCUUACGUCCGGGGCUACACACGUGUUACAAUGGGGGGUACAGAGAGUCGGAUGUACGCAAGUACAUUCUAAUCCUAAAAGCCUUCCUCAGUUCGGAUUGGGGUCUGCAACCCGACCCCAUGAAGCUGGAUUCGCUAGUAAUC
rnacentral:rRNA from 1 species